GCCAGGUGUGGUGGCACACACCUGUAAUCCCAGCCACUUGGAAGGCUGAGGCAGAAGGAUCACAAGUUUGAGGCCAAUCUGGGCACUUUAGUGAGGCCCUAAGCAACCUAACGAGACCCUGCCUCAA
rnacentral:sRNA from 1 species